AGAGUUUGAUCCUGGCUCAGGAUGAACGCUAGCGACAGGCCUAACACAUGCAAGUCGAGGGGCAGCGGGGAGGUAGCAAUACCUUUGCCGGCGACCGGCGCACGGGUGAGUAACACGUAUGCAAUCCACCUGUAACAGGGGGAUAACCCGGAGAAAUCCGGACUAAUACCCCAUAAUAUGGGCUCUCCGCAUGGAGGGCCCAUUAAAGAGAGCAAUCUUGGUUACAGACGAGCAUGCGCUCCAUUAGCCAGUUGGCGGGGUAACGGCCCACCAAGGCGACGAUGGAUAGGGGUUCUGAGAGGAAGGUCCCCCACAUUGGAACUGAGACACGGUCCAAACUCCUACGGGAGGCAGCAGUGAGGAAUAUUGGUCAAUGGACGAGAGUCUGAACCAGCCAAGUAGCGUGAAGGAUGAAGGUCCUACGGAUUGUAAACUUCUUUUAUAAGGGAAUAAACCCUCCCACGUGUGGGAGCUUGUAUGUACCUUAUGAAUAAGCAUCGGCUAACUCCGUGCCAGCAGCCGCGGUAAUACGGAGGAUGCGAGCGUUAUCCGGAUUUAUUGGGUUUAAAGGGAGCGCAGACGGGUCGUUAAGUCAGCUGUGAAAGUUUGGGGCUCAACCUUAAAAUUGCAGUUGAUACUGGCGUCCUUGAGUGCGGUUGAGGUGUGCGGAAUUCGUGGUGUAGCGGUGAAAUGCUUAGAUAUCACGAAGAACUCCGAUUGCGAAGGCAGCACACUAAUCCGUAACUGACGUUCAUGCUCGAAAGUGUGGGUAUCAAACAGGAUUAGAUACCCUGGUAGUCCACACGGUAAACGAUGGAUACUCGCUGUUGGCGAUAUACUGUCAGCGGCUUAGCGAAAGCGUUAAGUAUCCCACCUGGGGAGUACGCCGGCAACGGUGAAACUCAAAGGAAUUGACGGGGGCCCG
rnacentral:rRNA from 1 species